UACGUCAUCAAGCUCAGUUUGAGUCUGCGCACCAGUUUGGCAGCGACUCGUGAGGUUGGUGUGACGGAAACGCCGUGAGCUUUGUUGGGAUCUCAUUUCUUUUGUUUAACUUUCUGUCAGUAACAAAGUCUAGAUUUUUAUAAUCGUAGUCAAUGGAAGAGCUCAACAUAGUGUUUUAACGACGACGUCUGAUGCAUUUUCUUUUAGAUCAGCGUAAAUGCAUGCUUCUUUUGUUUAGCUUUUCAACCGGUGUGACAAAACGCUAACUUUUCUUGUUUGUAACAUUGCGAACUGCAGUUUGCUUUACGUGCACUUCUUUUCUGUUUUAGUUUGAGGUGUGUUUGGUGAUUCAGUGUCAGUGACGGAGGGAGAUUCUUCAAAAGUGACACAAUGACACUACUUUAACAACUCAUGCGAGCCGGUGUGUGUGUAUUAGGAGGGAGAUUCACACAAGUUUGAGUGUUUUCAGCA